AGCAGCCGCGGUAAUUCCAGCUCCAAUAGCGUAUAUUAAAGUUGUUGCAGUUAAAAAGCUCGUAGUUGAAUUUCGGGAUCAAUAUAUCGGUCGUGCCAUUGGUACGUACUGGUAUCAUUGGUUUCUCCUUUCUGACGAACCAUGAUGCCAUUAAUUUGGUGUUAUGGGAAGUUAGGACUGUUACUUUGAAAAAAUUAGAGUGUUUAAAGCAGGCUUUAGCUUGAAUACAUUAGCAUGGAAUAAUGAAAUAGGACGUUCGAACCUAUUUUGUUGGUUUCUAGGAUCAACGUAAUGAUUAAUAGGGAUAGUUGGGGGCAUUAGUAUUCAAUUGUCAGAGGUGAAAUUCUUGGAUUUAUUGAAGACUAACUACUGCGAAAGCAUUUGCCAAGGAUGUUUUCAUUAAUCAAGAACGAAAGUUAGGGGAUCGAA
rnacentral:rRNA from 1 species